UAAUGGGUCAGCGACUUAUAUUCAGUGGCAAGGUUAACCAUCUAGGGGAGCCGUAGGGAAACCGAGUCUUAACUGGGCGUUCAGUCUCUGGAUAUAGACCCGAAACCAGGUGAUCUAGCCAUGGGCAGGUUGAAGGUUGAGUAACAUCAACUGGAGGACCGAACCGACUAAUGUUGAAAAAUUAGCGGAUGACUUGUGGCUAGGGGUGAAAGGCCAAUCAAACCUGGAGAUAGCUGGUUCUCCCCGAAAGCUAUUUAGGUAGCGCCUCGGACGAAUACUACUGGGGGUAGAGCACUGUUAAGGCUAGGGGGUCAUCCCGACUUACCAACCCUUUGCAAACUCCGAAUACCAGUAAGUACUAUCCGGGAGACACACGGCGGGUGCUAACGUCCGUCGUGGAGAGGGAAACAACCCAGACCGCCAGCUAAGGUCCCAAAUUACUACUAAGUGGGAAACGAUGUGGGAAGGCUCAGACAGCCAGGAUGUUGGCUUAGAAGCAGCCAUCAUUUAAAGAAAGCGUAAUAGCUCACUGGUCGAGUCGGCCUGCGCGGAAGAUGUAACGGGGCUAAGUAGUAAACCGAAGCUGCGGCAAUAUACUUUUGUAUAUUGGGUAGGGGAGCGUUCUGUAAGCGG
rnacentral:rRNA from 1 species